AGAGCCAACGGUGGAUGCCUUGGCGCCUGAAGCCGAAGAAGGACGUGGGCGACUGCGAAAAGCCACGGGGAGCUGUCUACCAAGCUUUGAUCCGUGGAUGUCCGAAUGGGGCAACCCAGCACCCGUCAUGGGGUGUUACUCCCGCCUGAAUGUAUAGGGCGGGUAGAGGGAACCGGGGGAAUUGAAACAUCUAAGUACCCCGAGGAGAGGAAAACAACAGUGACUCCCCUAGUAGCGGCGAGCGAAAAGGGAAGAGCCUAAACCGUGCCGGUGUUAAAGCCUGAUGGCGUUGCCGGUAUGGGGUUGUGGGAUUUAAGAGAAGGCGCAUCAGAGCCUUCACGGAGUUACAAAUCCGAUGUUUAGUGGAAGCAGUCAGGAAAGCUGCACCGAAGAGGGUAAUAGUCCCGUACACGAAAAGCAGAGGACUCCGCUUAAACACCCGAGUAGCGCCGGAUCCGGGAAAGCCGGCGUGAAUCUGCGAGGACCAUCUCGUAAGGCUAAGUACUCACAGGCGACCGAUAGCGAACUAGUACCGUGAGGGAAAGGUGAAAAGUACCCCGGGAGGGGAGUGAAAUAGUACCUGAAACCGUUGGCUUACAAACAGUCAAAGCGUCGUUAGCUCCAGUGCCACAUGGCCAAUUGCCUUCGGGUGAGCGGCCUAGGCAACAGCUGGGUGCUAGCCGUGAUGGCGUGCCUUUUGAAGAAUGAGCCAGCGAGUUACGGUGUGUGGCGAGGUUAACCCGUGAGGGGUAGCCGAAGCGAAAGCGAGUCUGAAUAGGGCGAUGAGUCGCACGCUGUAGACCCGAAGCCGAGUGAGCUAGCCAUGGGCAGGCUGAAGCGGGGGUAAGACCCCGUGGAGGGCCGAACCCACCUAGGUUGAAAACUGGGGGGAUGACCUGUGGUUAGGGGUGAAAGGCCAAUCAAACUCGGUGAUAGCUGGUUCUCCCCGAAAUGCAUUUAGGUGCAGCGUUAGACGUUCAGCAUCGGAGGUAGAGCACUGAAUGGGCUAGGGGGCCUACAAGCUUACUGACCCCAAUCAAACUCCGAAUGCCGAUGCUCAAGAGUCUGGCAGUGAGACCACGGGGGAUGAGCUUCGUUGGUCGAAAGGGAAACAGCCCAGACCGUCAGCUAAGGCCCCAAAUUCUUGACUAAGUGGAAAACGAUGUGGGAACGCUCAGACAGCCAGGAGGUUGGCUUAGAAGCAGCCACCCUUUAAAGAGUGCGUAAUAGCUCACUGGUCGAGUGGUCCUGCGCGGAUAAUGUAACGGGGCUCAAGUCAAGAGCCGAAGCUACGGAUUUCUGUCAUAUGACAGGAGUGGUAGGGGAGCGUCGAUCCUCGCUGAGAAGCGGCGGUGGAAACCGUCGUGGAGCGUGGUCGAGUGAGAAUGUUGGUAUGAGUAGCGAGAGAGGGGUGAGAAACCCCUCCGCCGUAAGCCCAAGGGUUCCUGGGGAAGGCUAAUCCUCCCAGGGUAAGUCGGGAGCUAAGGCGAGGCCGAGAGGCGUAGUCGAUGCACAACUGGUUGAUAUUCCAGUACUUCCGUGUCCGCGCCCAAUCCAAUUCUGGUGAUCCUAAGGGGCUGUCCUUCGGGGCGAACCGACCGGACCCAGAGGCGGAUAGCGAAGGAGGGACGCAGGAGGGUAGGUGAGCCCAGGCGUUGGUUGUCCUGGGGUAAGCGUGUAGGGAGAGGUCUAGGCAAAUCCGGACCUCAUCAUCCCGAGACGCGAUGCCGAGCCGUCACAGGCGAAGUCACUGAUUCCAUGCUGCCUAGAAAAGCUCCUAGCGAGCUGACACGGUGCCCGUACCCCAAACCGACACAGGUGGGCGGGUAGAGAAUACCAAGGCGAUCGGGAGAACUGUGGUUAAGGAACUCGGCAAAAUUCCUCCGUAACUUCGGGAGAAGGAGGGCCCCAAUAGGGUGAAGGACUUCGCGUCCGGAGCUUGAGGGGGCCGCAGUGAAUUGGGGAAAGCGACUGUUUACUAAAAACACAGGAGCGUGCGAAGUCGUAAGACGAUGUAUACGCUCUGACGCCUGCCCGGUGCCGGAAGGUUACGGGGAAGGGUUAGCCCUAGGGCGAAGCUCUGAACCUAAGCCCCGGUAAACGGCGGCCGUAACUAUAACGGUCCUAAGGUAGACCCCCUGGAAUACGUGCCCAGGGGCUGCCCCUAGCAAGAGUGAUCUUGCAUAGUGCAGCUGGCCAUAUGCUGGAAACCCCGAGUAUCUGGUGGUACUCAUUCGUGUCACACUCCGUAGUUAGGGUUGUGUCAUGGAAAGUGAAAAUCCACCCAGUGCGGGCAAUCAGCAGGAAAGGCCAGGAUUUGCGCAGUGGGUCGUCGGCUUUGUCGACGGCGAGGGCUGCUUCAGCGUUCCAAUCUUCAUGAAUCGAACGUGCCGGCUCGGUUGGCAAGCCCAACCGACCUUCACGGUGGUCCAAGGAGUGAAGAGCGAGAGUGCGAUGCACUUGCUGAAGUCGUUCUUUGGAUGUGGUCACGUUGGUCGUAAUGACCGACACGACAAUCAUCGGGAAGCACUGAGCCGUUUCACGGUGAGGAGGCUUUCGGACCUGUCGGACCGGAUCGUCCCGUUCUUCGAAGAACACCCACUGAUUACGGCAAAGAACGCCGACUUUGCAAAGUUUGCGCAAGUAGUUCGGCUUAUGAAUGAAGGUUCCCAUCUGACAACAGAUGGACUCAUUCGAAUAGCGGAGCUGUCGCAGACGAUGAAUCGUCGGCAGCCGUCACAUUUCCUGGAAUCCUCAGAGGCCAUACGCCAGCCACCUCGAGUCGACUCUCGAGGUGAAGAUAUGGUCCGAGCCCCAUGGCGACAUGGGGACUAACUCGAGCGAAAUUCCUUGUCGGGUAAGUUCCGACCUGCACGAAUGGCGUAACGACUUUCCUACUGUCUCAACCACAGACCCGGCGAAAUUGAACUACGAGUAAAGAUGCUCGUUAGCUGCAUCAGGACGGAAAGACCCCGUGGACCUUUACUACAGUUUGAUGUUGUGUUUUGGUACAAUUUGUGUAGGAUAGGUGGGAGUCAUUGAAGCAUUGGCGCUAG
rnacentral:rRNA from 1 species